GACGAGGUGGCCGAGUGGUUAAGGCGAUGGACUGCAAAUACAUUGGGCUUUGCCCGAGUGCGUUCGAAUCCCAUCUUUGUCA
rnacentral:tRNA from 1 species